rnacentral:rRNA from 1 species
AGUGAACGCUGGCGGUAGGCCUAACACAUGCAAGUCGAACGGCAGCACAGUAAGAGCUUGCUCUUACGGGUGGCGAGUGGCGGACGGGUGAGGAAUACAUCGUAAUCUACUUUUUCGUGGGGGAUAACGUAGGGAAACUUACGCUAAUACCGCAUACGACCUACGGGUGAAAGCAGGGGAUCUUCGGACCUUGCGCGAUUGAAUGAGCCGAUGUUGGAUUAGCUCGUUGGCGGGGUAAAGGCCCACCAAGGCGACGAUCCGUAGCUGGUCUGAGAGGCUGAUCAGCCACACUGGAACUGAGACACGGUCCAGACUCCUACGGGAGGCAGCAGUGGGGAAUAUUGGACAAUGGGCGCAAGCCUGAUCCAGCCAUACCGCGUGGGUGAAGAAGGCCUUCGGGUUGUAAAGCCCUUUUGUUGGGAAAGAAAAGCAGCAGGUUAAUACCCCGCUGUUCUGACGGUACCCAAAGAAUAAGCACCGGCUAACUUCGUG